UACGGGGGGAGCAAGCGUUGUUCGGAUUUACUGGGCGUAAAGGGCGCGUAGGCGGCCAGCACAAGUCAGUUGUGAAAUCUCCGAGCUUAACUCGGAAAGGUCAACUGAUACUGUGCGGCUAGAGUGCGGAAGGGGCAACUGGAAUUCUUGGUGUAGCGGUGAAAUGCGUAGAGAUCGGGAGGAACAUCAGUGGCGAAGGCGGCCCUCUGGACCAGUACUGACGCUGAGGCACGAAAGCGUGGGGAGCAAACAGG
rnacentral:rRNA from 1 species